CGGCGGCCAUCAGGCUGGGCAGCUAUUUUUCUAUGUGAACAAGCGGCAUACAUUUGCAGCACCUAUCUACUUGAAUGGGGCUAAAAUCUCCAAAAAGCUGUUUAUCCACCCAGGAAGGAGAUUCCAUCUGCUUUCUGCUAUCAGCAACCUACUAAUUGAUUUUCAAGGAUGACAAACGAGCCGCUGAUUUGCUGAGCAGAGUGAGCAUGGGGAGAGCGGCAUAUAAAUGGCCAUGCCACCAGCAGAGAGGCAGAGAGUCUAGCACAAGGGAGCCCACAGUGCUCGUGGAAGCUGAUGUGUUUAUGUUCAUGAAGCUAAUGAGUUUGAGUGCCUACGUGCCUCUGAGACUGUUGAGUUUGUGAAGAUGUAAAGCAUUGAAGUGGCCAAUUAAAAGCCUUACCUGA